UAAUACGAAGGGAGCUAGCGUUGUUCGGAAUUACUGGGCGUAAAGCGCACGUAGGCGGAUUUUUAAGUCAGGGGUGAAAUCCCAAGGCUCAACCUUGGAACUGCCUUUGAUACUGGAAGUCUCGAGAUCGGGAGAGGUGAGUGGAAUUCCUAGUGUAGAGGUGAAAUUCGUAGAUAUUAGGAAGAACACCAGUGGCGAAGGCGGCUCACUGGCCCGAUACUGACGCUGAGGUGCGAAAGCGUGGGGAGCAAACAGG
rnacentral:rRNA from 1 species